GGGUUGUGAGGUUAAGCGACUAAGCGUACACGGUGGAUGCCUAGGCAGUCAGAGGCGAUGAAGGGCGUGCUAAUCUGCGAUAAGCGUCGGUAAGCUGAUAUGAAGCGUUAUACCCGACGAUACCCGAAUGGGGAAACCCAGUGUGUUUCGACACACUAUCAUGACAUGAAUACAUAGUGUCAUGAGGCGAACCGGGGGAACUGAAACAUCUCAGUACCCCGAGGAAAAGAAAUCAACCGAGAUUCCCCCAGUAGCGGCGAGCGAACGGGGAGGAGCCCAGAACCUGAAUCAGUUUGUGUGUUAGUGGAAGCGUCUGGAAAGUCGCACAGUAAAGGGUGAUAGUCCCGUACACAAAAAUGCACAAGCUGUGAGUUCGAUGAGUAGGGCGGGACACGUGACAUCCUGUCUGAAUAUGGGGGGGACCAUCCUCCAAGGCUAAAUACUCCUGACUGACCGAUAGUGAACCAGUACCGUGAGGGAAAGGCGAAAAGAACCCCGGCGAGGGGAGUGAAAUAGAACCUGAAACCGUGUACGUACAAGCAGUGGGAGCCUACUUGUUAGGUGACUGCGUACCUUUUGUAUAAUGGGUCAGCGACUUAUAUUCUGUAGCAAGGUUAACCGUAUAGGGGAGCCGCAGGGAAACCGAGUCUUAACUGGGCGUUAAGUUGCAGGGUAUAGACCCGAAACCCGGUGAUCUAGCCAUGGGCAGGUUGAAGGUUGGGUAACACUAACUGGAGGACCGAACCGACUAAUGUUGAAAAAUUAGCGGAUGACUUGUGGCUGGGGGUGAAAGGCCAAUCAAACCGGGAGAUAGCUGGUUCUCCCCGAAAGCUAUUUAGGUAGCGCCUCGUGAACUCAUCUUCGGGGGUAGAGCACUGUUUCGGCUAGGGGUCAUCCCGACUUACCAACCCGAUGCAAACUACGAAUACCGAAGAAUGUUAUCACGGGAGACACACGGCGGGUGCUAACGUUCGUCGUGAAGAGGGAAACAACCCAGACCGCCAGCUAAGGUCCCAAAGUCAUGGUUAAGUGGGAAACGAUGUGGGAAGGCACAGACAGCCAGGAUGUUGGCUUAGAAGCAGCCAUCAUUUAAAGAAAGCGUAAUAGCUCACUGGUCGAGUCGGCCUGCGCGGAAGAUGUAACGGGGCUAAACCAUGCACCGAAGCUGCGGCAGCGACACUUAGGUGUUGUUGGGUAGGGGAGCGUUCUGUAAGCCGUCGAAGGUGGCCUGUGAGGGCUGCUGGAGGUAUCAGAAGUGCGAAUGCUGACAUAAGUAACGAUAAUGCGGGUGAAAAACCCGCACGCCGGAAGACCAAGGGUUCCUGUCCAACGUUAAUCGGGGCAGGGUGAGUCGACCCCUAAGGCGAGGCUGAAAAGCGUAGUCGAUGGGAAACAGGUUAAUAUUCCUGUACUCGGUGUUACUGCGAAGGGGGGACGGAGAAAGCUAGGUUAUCCGGGCGACGGUUGUCCCGGUUUAAGCGUGAAGGUGGAUGACUUUGGUAAAUCCGGGUCGUCAUUAACACUGAGGCGUGAUGACGAGUCACUACGGUGAUGAAGUAACUAAUGCUACGCUUCCAGGAAAAGCCUCUAAGCUCCAGGUAACAUCAAAUCGUACCCCAAACCGACACAGGUGGUCAGGUAGAGAAUACUCAGGCGCUUGAGAGAACUCGGGUGAAGGAACUAGGCAAAAUGGUGCCGUAACUUCGGGAGAAGGCACGCUGAUGGUAAGUGAAGUGACUUGCUCAUGGAGCUGAAAUCAGUCGAAGAUACCAGCUGGCUGCAACUGUUUAAUAAAAACACAGCACUGUGCAAACACGAAAGUGGACGUAUACGGUGUGACGCCUGCCCGGUGCCGGAAGGUUAAUUGAUGGGGUCAGCCGCAAGGCGAAGCUCUUGAUCGAAGCCCCGGUAAACGGCGGCCGUAACUAUAACGGUCCUAAGGUAGCGAAAUUCCUUGUCGGGUAAGUUCCGACCUGCACGAAUGGCGUAAUGAUGGCCAGGCUGUCUCCACCCGAGACUCAGUGAAAUUGAACUCGCUGUGAAGAUGCAGUGUACCCGCGGCAAGACGGAAAGACCCCGUGAACCUUUACUAUAGCUUGACACUGAACCUUGAGCCUUGAUGUGUAGGAUAGGUGGGAGGCUUUGAAGCGUGGACGCCAGUCUGCGUGGAGCCAACCUUGAAAUACCACCCUUUAAUGUUUGAUGUUCUAACGUGGACCCGUAAUCCGGGUUGCGGACAGUGUCUGGUGGGUAGUUUGACUGGGGCGGUCUCCUCCCAAAGCGUAACGGAGGAGCACGAAGGUUAGCUAAUCCUGGUCGGACAUCAGGAGGUUAGUGCAAAGGCAUAAGCUAGCUUGACUGCGAGAGUGACAGCUCGAGCAGGUGCGAAAGCAGGUCUUAGUGAUCCGGUGGUUCUGAAUGGAAGGGCCAUCGCUCAACGGAUAAAAGGUACUCCGGGGAUAACAGGCUGAUACCGCCCAAGAGUUCAUAUCGACGGCGGUGUUUGGCACCUCGAUGUCGGCUCAUCACAUCCUGGGGCUGAAGUAGGUCCCAAGGGUAUGGCUGUUCGCCAUUUAAAGUGGUACGCGAGCUGGGUUUAGAACGUCGUGAGACAGUUCGGUCCCUAUCUGCCGUGGGCGUUGGAAGAUUGAGAGGGGUUGCUCCUAGUACGAGAGGACCGGAGUGAACGCACCACUGGUGUACGGGUUGUGAUGCCAAUUGCAUUGCCCGGUAGCUAAGUGCGGAAGAGAUAACCGCUGAAAGCAUCUAAGCGGGAAACUUGCCUCGAGAUGAGUCUUCCCUGGGCACUAGAUGCCCCUGAAGGGCCGUUGAAGACGACGACGUAGAUAGGCUGGGUGUGUAAGCGUAGCGAUACGUUGAGCUAACCAGUACUAAUGACCCGAGAGGCUUAACCUUACAACACCGAAGGUGUUU
rnacentral:rRNA from 1 species